AUCGCUUCUCGGCCUUUUUGCUAGGAUCAAGUGUAGUAUCUGUUCUUAUAAGUUUAAUAUCUGAUGGACCUCUAUCCGAGGACAAUAUAUUAAAUGAAUUUUUAGAAUUAGGAGUCGGAAUAGGAGCUUGCUCCAUCUGCUCCUCUAAUUGACCUGAUAUUGCAGUACUUAUAGGAAAGGUGCACCCCCU